rnacentral:lncRNA from 1 species
UCAAAUUAUAAUUUAUAAACCCGUAAAUUUAAAAUGUUCAUCGGGUUGGAAAUAUUCACUGCGUAAUUGUCAUGCUUCAAACAAACAUUUUUGAAGAUGUUUAAAAUGCCCAUGGACUUUAAACAGUGGACCAACGACACCUUUUUUAGCCCAUUUAAAUACAAUCAUAAUUUAAAUUAACUCCAGUUGCCCCAAACAUUUUGUGCAGCCCCAAGGUAUAGUGCUUGAAUUAUGUGCAAAUUUACAUGGUCAACACAAGUCAUUUGUUAGCAGAACUUUAAUAAAAAUAGGAGCUAACAAAUAGAAAAGAAAAUAAGUAAAAAAAAAAGAGAAAUACAAAUUAGAAAAGAAUAAAAGUAAAAUAGGAGAAGCCUCUAUGCACCUUGGCCCAGCCGCUACAGAGUCAAGCCCAGCCCAACACUGCUCCAUCCCCUACCUAACGCUCUCUCUCCUGUGCGUGUCGUGCAUCCCCGUCGCCAUGGCGCGGAUGCUCGACGCGUGCUGCUACAGGGAAUCGAGGAGAGGAUAAGAAGGCCACCAGGAACCCUCGACGAACCCUAGCUCCCUUCGUUUCCCCCCUCGCGCCUUCUCCACCAAAUCGAGCCGCGCCCGAGACCAUAGUCGCCGCCGUCUUCGUCGAUCCCGCGGCCACCGGCCUCCUCUCACCGUGCCAAGGCGUCCAGGAGCCCCGCCAUCGUCAUCUCCUUCCUCUCCGCCGCUGGUUUGUCGUCAGGGCGCCAUCAAGCUCGCCAUCACCGGUCUUCUCCGUCGUAGCCGUCACAACCUCGCCGUCGAUUCGCCCAGCUCCGGUCCACCUCCGGCCUCCCCGACCGGAACUCCGAGCUCGCGGUGAGCUCCUCCCCCUUAUCCUCCUUUUUCGCCUUUGAUUUGGACGCCGUAGGCCGCCGUCAUCGUCGUGCCCGAAUUCCCGUGUACGCGUACAUGCGUGCAACUGUUGAUCUGCUUCCCUGCGCUGCUGCUGCUUCUCGCCUUCUAUUGCUGCUGUUCGCUCGCUGCCGCCCCGUGCCCGCCCUACUGCUGCAACCCGCCUGCCUGCGCCCCUGCAGCCGCCGCUCGCGGUCGAGCCCGCCGGUGCCAUGCCCACCGCGGUUGCUGGCCCUGGUCACGGCAUGGCCGACGACGCCGUGCGCUACUGCUGCUCUUGCGAUGCAGUUGCUCGCUGCUUGUUUCUGCUAUUGCUGCGCCUAAUCGUUGCCGAUGCUGCUUAUGCUACGCUGCUUUGCUACUACUGCUGCCGCUAGAACCGCUGCCUACUGCCAUGGCCGCUGUGGCCUUGUGCCCGUGCGUGCUAGUGUGUGAGCUUGUGUGGCCGGUUGGCCCAAUUAGUUUAGGACUAAUUGCCUUUUAUUUAGGGAUUAAUUAGUGGCUAGAUUAGUCUAUGUACGGAUGACAUGUAGGCCCCCAUUAAUUUAGUUAGAUGUUUUAUUAACACAUGUGACAAUGACAUGUGGGCCACACCUGCCCCUUUUGACUAGUCAAAUUGACUCGGUCAAUUCGGAUUAAUUAAAUAUAAUAAUUCCAAAUUCUCGAAUAUUGAUAAAACUUUGAAAAAUCUUAUAAAAUAAAUCAUAACUCGGAUGAAAAAACUUUGUACAUGAAAGUUGCUGAGAACGACGAGACGAAUCCGAAUACGCAGUCCGUUUGUCCGCCACACAUCCCUAGCAUAGCAAACACGCAACUUCCCCCCUCCAGUUCAUCUGUCCGAAAACGCGAAAUACCGGGAAUACUUUUCCGGAUGUUUCCCCCUUCGCCGGUAUCACCUUCCACCGCGUUAGGGAACACCUAACACCGCUCAUUGUCUUGUCAUGCAUCUUCAUGCAUAUGUUUGCAUUAUAUUUAUUGUUUCUUCCCCCUCUUCUCUCGCUAGACACCGAGACCGACGCCGCUGCUACCCAGUACGACUAUGGUGUUGACGACCCUCCUUCUCGGCUGAGCUUCCAGGCAAGCCCCCUCCCCCCCUUGAUCACCAGAUAUCGCCUAUUCCUUCUCUAUACUGCUUGCAUUAGAGUAGUGUAGCAUGUUACUGCUUUCGGUUAAUCAUAUUCUGAUGCAUAGCCUGUCGUUUGUUGCUACAGUUGUUACCCUUACCUGCUAUCCUACUGCUUAGUAUAAGAUGCUAGUGUUCCAUCAGUGGCCCUAUAUUCUUGUCCGUCUGCCAUGCUAUACUAUCGGGCCGUGAUCACUAGGGAGGUGAUCAUGGGUAUAUACUAUAUACUUUAUAUACAUGACACAUGUGGUGACUAAACUCGGGUCCGCUUGUUGUGUACCCGCAAGUGAUUCUGAUGAGGGGGCUGAAAGGACAGGUGGCUCCAUCCCGGUAGAGGUGGGCCUGGGUUCCUGACGGCCCCCGACUGUUACUUUGUGGCGGAGCGACAGGGCGGGUUGAGACCACCUAGGAGAGAGGUGGGCCUGGCCUUGGUCGGCAUCCGCGGAUACUUAAAAAUAACACGCUUAACGAGUUCUUGGUAUUUGAUCUGAGUCUGGCCAUUUGGUCUAUACGCACUAACCAACUACGUGGGAAAGUUAUGGGCACUCGACGUCGUGGUAUCAGCCGAAGCCUUCGUGACGUCAGUGACUGAGCGGCGCGCGCCGGAUUGGAACGUAAGCCUGCUCUUGUAUUAAGGGGGCUAGUUCUGCUUCCGGCCGCGUACGCAACGUGCAGGUGUGCAAUGGGCGAUGGCCCCAGACCCCUGCGCGCAUAGGAUUUAGACCGGCGUGCUGACCUCUCUGUUUUUUUGAGGGGUCAAAGACAGUAGGAAAGGAUCCUACUGACACAUAUAUUUCAUUACUUACGUCAAGGUGUUAACUUUACAUGGUUACAAUAUGGGUGGUCAGUAUAUUAGUAGAGGUGUGUAGGCACCUCAGAGGUGGGGGGGUGUGGUGUUGGGUUGCAAAAAAAAAGUUACAAGUUGGUUACAAGGAAAGUAGAGAUAAGCUGGACUAAGGGGGGCUUGACCCUAUGGCGUAGUAGGUCAAGAUCUAUUCGUAAUCUAGCCCUCCAAGAACUAAAGGUGGGGGGAAUUCUUUGGAAGAUUAUCCCAUUGCGUUCUUUCCAAAUGCUCCAAGCAGAUAGCCUGAAGAUCUCCAUGAAUAACGACAAAUGCCAACGAAGUUUUCCCCCUGGAGAAGUUGCAAUCUGUUUCCAUUGUCGGGCCAGGAGAUACCAAGCGCAGUCCAGCAUCGUUGGCUAAAAGGGCAAUUGAAGAAAAGGUGUUCCACGGUUUCCUCCUCAUUGCUGUCACAAAGUGCACAUUGUAUGCUAUUUCCGACGUUGUAGUGUCUUCUUUUCAGCAUGUUUCUUGUGUUGACUCUAUCUGCUAGGAGCAGCCAUGCAAACACUUUGAUUUUGGUCGUGCAUUUGGAAUCCCAUAUCCAGGAGAAGGCCGGAUCGGCCAAGACGUUUCUGAAGAAGAAUUUAUAGUAUCUGGCCGAGGUAUAUUUGGCUCCCCAGGAAUAGGUCCAAUGGUCAAGUGCGUUGUUGUCAGGGAUUGUGUCUACAGUUUGUGCUUGCAAUUGUUGCAACUCUUGUCGUGCCUGUGGUGUCAGAGGCAGAUGGAAGCCAGUGUGGAGGUUGGUGAUCGCCAAGAACUCUGCAACCGAGGCAUCUUCCAGUUUGGUGAAUGAAAAAGCCCGUGGGAAAGCUUCCUCAUUCAGCUGCGCAGUCCAGAGAUCUUUCCAAAACAACACGGUGUCACCCUUACCAAUUUGAACCGUAGUGAUUCCACGGUAGAGAUCGCUCAGGUUCAUGACAUCUUUCCACCAGAAAGACCGCAAGCAUCUGUGGCAUGGGGUACCUUGUUGUUGUAGUACGUAUUCCAAAUCAGAUGUACCCAGGGAAUGUCAUGCUUGUUGUAAAAGCUGUGUAGGAACUUGAGGAGGAGAGCUGUGUUCUGGGUUUUGAUAUCGAGAAUCCCUAGGCCUCCGUUCUUUUUUGGGCGGCAAACAAGAUUCCAUGCAGCGAGGGAGUUGGCUUUUUCCCCUUGGUCCGUUUUCUUGUGCCACAGGCAGCGUCUUCUGAUUUUGUCAAGGUGUUCAAUCAACUUGGGAGGGAACUUUAGCGUACACAUCGGGUAUAUCAUCAUGGAUGUAAUGAGCGAGUUGAGGAGCGUCAGUUUAGAACCAUGAUCCAGCAUGCAUAGGGAGGAGGAUAAUCUGCGUUCAGUUCGCUCCACCAGUGGCAUCAGAUCCGUCACGCUUGGUUUGGUGGUACCCAUUGGCAAUCCAAGGUACGUGAAUGGCAUUUUACCUACAGUGCAUUCCCAUAGAUGAGCAAGUUGGUUGACCAUGUCGUCAUCUACAUUGAUUGGUAUGAGCAGAGAUUUUUGGAAGUUGAGUUUGAGGCCAAUGGAAUCAACAUAGUCUAGUAACAGUUGUUUCAUGAAUUUGAUUUGCUCUUGACAUGCAGGCAUCAGCAGGAUGGUAUCAUCGGCGUAUUGGAUCACAGGGUAAUCAGAUUGUUGGUUGGAUGGGAUUGGAAGACGGAUCUUGUGAUGUCUAUAAGCAUCAUUGAUUGCAGCUUGUAGGAGGUCAGCAACCAGGACAAAAAUUAGGGGAGAAAGUGGGUCUCCCUGUCAGACUCCGCAUCUGCAGUGAAACUGUCGGCCCGGGACACCAUUUAAAAGGACCGAGGAGGUGGCAGACUCAAAUAUGCUCUUGAUCCAGCUCAGCCAUUUAUCAUCGAAUCCCAUUUGUUUCAUGAUAGCAAGCAUGGCAGAGUGGUCAAUGGUGUCAAACGCCUUUGCGAAAUCGAGCUUGAACAGAAUGGUGGGUGCACCUGAUUGCUUGCAUUGGAAUAUAUACUCAAAGGCCCAAGCGAGACAGUCUUGUAUGGUACGGGUGCGGAGAAAGCCGUAUUGGUUUUUGUGUACAAUUUUGAGCACGAUUACCUGCAGCCUAUUGGCCAAUAUCUUUGUUAUGAUUUUCAGGCAGCAGUUGAGGAGCGUUAUCGGUCUAAAGUCAUUGGGUGUCUCAGGGGAGCUAAUCUUAGGGAUGAGGGUGAUGUAUCCUGAGUUAAUGCUGGUGAGGUUUAAAUUGCCAGUAUAAAAUUCCUCACAAAGUCUGUAGAAGUCCUGUUUGAUGAUAUGCCAGCAAGAUUUCAAGAAAUGCCCAUUGAAUCCGUCGGGGCCAGGUGCUCGGUCAUUGGGCAUGGUUCUCACAACCUCAUCGAUCUCUUUGUGUGUAAAGGGGAUGGAUAAGGUAUGGAGCCCUUCAAUUCGCUUGAUGAUGUUGGGUAGGUUAAAUUUCAUUUCAUGUGGCGACGAUUCACCCAAUCUCUGCUUGUAGGUGGUGAACAGGAGUGCUUCCUUGGACGUGUGGUCACUGACAGUUUGCCCAUCGGGUGUUUUCAAUGUGGCUAUGGAGUUUUGUCUGUACCUUUCAGUGGCAAGCGCAUGAAAUAGCUUAGUAUUUUCAGAUCCAAACUUGAUAUAUCGGAUGGUGCACCUCUUCUUCCAGUAUUGGUUCUGAAAUUGUAGCAGUUUGAGUAGGUGCGCUUUAAGAAUGCGUCGGAAAUUGAUCUCCGGGCGGGAUAGGGGUCGUUGAUCUUCCAACCCAUCAAGCAGAAGGAGGGUCUGGUUGCAGUUCUGGAUGAGUAUAGACAGUUUGGAAAUGUAUUUGCUCCAGGCUUUGAGGUCAUAUCUAAGGUUCUUCAUUUUUUUGCAAAUGGCAGCAGCAGCGUUGGUGGCAUAGCACUGUUUGUUCCAGGAUGUAGCCACAACUUGGAGGAAGUUGGAGUGGUUAGUCCAGUAGUUUUCAAAUCAAAAGAUCUUGCUUUUGGGUAUGCUUGUUUCAAUGUGAACCACACAGGGUGUGUGAUCAGAGAUUGGUUUCCCCAAAGUAGUAACUAUGGUGUUUGGGAAGGAUUGGGUCCAGUGGCAAGAUCAGAAGAACCAAUCAAGUUGUUCGAGGAGCGGAUCAUCCUGCAUAUUGCUCCAGGUGUAAGAACGACCUUUGAGAGGUAUUUCAAUUAGUGCUUGCGCCCGAAUAAUGUCGUUAAACAUUAAGAUGUCAUUUGGAUCACCUCCAGCCUUAUUUCUAUUUUCAGAAGAGCGUAUAAAGUUGUAAUCCCCUACGAGCAGCCAAUCUUCAGAGUCUGGUAUAUCCAGCUCAUAUAGCCAGUCAGUGAAAAGAAGGCAAUCAUUGCCUUGGCAAGGCCCAUAUAUGUUAUAUAAUGACCAAACAUUGCCAGAAACUUUGGAGGUAAGGGAAACCCCAAGGGCGUGAAUUUCAGAAUAACAGAUGGAUCCAUCAAGUGCAGAGCCAUUCCAGAUGGUAAUAAUUCCCCCAGAAGCUCCCCGUGAGGGAACAAAAGCAAAUUGAUCGAAACAUUCGGGGCAGAAGGUUUUAAGGAAAGCCAAAUCAAAAUGCAUGCGCUUAGUUUCUUGCAGGCAUAUUACAUCACACCCGCCGAUAUCGAUAGCAUUUCUAAUAGCUAGGAGCUUGUCAGCCGAAUUUAUUCCUCUAACGUUCCAGACCAAAACGUUCCACUGCUUCUUGAGGGGCAUGGAGCUGGGUCUUUAAGUGGAGGACGAGGUCGAGUUCUCCUGGACAGCCAUAAGGUUAUCUUCGGAGAGCUCAGUCGCCGGGACGCCGCAUUUGACAGUGCCAAUCAUCUGGAGCAUGGGGAUAGGUGUUGGGGGAGGCACUGAACUCUGCGUAGCAGAGGUGGUGGUGCUCAGAUUGGGGGCCUCGGGCACCUGACGCUGCUUAACCUUACUCUUGGUGGACCUUCCAUCAUCCAUUGACGGGGCUUUGAAGCCAUCAUAUUUAUUGGAGCGAGUGCUGCGAUGCAGAGUGGAUUCAUCAACCACGACAGGUUUCUUCUUCCUGUCCUUGCGCAUCAGGUCCUCAGACAAAGCUAUGGAGUCAGAAGAAGUGUCAUCAGAGAGUGAAUACAUGGUCGACCCAGAAUCUUCAGAGUUGCUAGCAGCAGUGUGGACCGGCUCGAGGAUAGUCAGCAGUGAUGGUGGAGUGAUGCUGGCAGGCACUGAAUUUUUGUUAGGAGAGGGUUGAGGCACCAGGACGGGGAGAACACCGGGCGAUGCAACAGUAGACCCACUGGGUAGAUCAUUCAUAUCAACAGCAGAAACCUGAACUUCUUGGCUGUGAACCUCAGCAAUCUGAAUUUCAUGGUUCCGAACUUCAGAAGUGUUUGUCUCAAACUCCAGAACCGCAGUACUCUGUGUCGCCGUGUUCUGAAUAGCAGCAGUUUGGGCUUCAGGGGACUCAGAGAUGUCCUGAAUGACAACAUUGGACUGCCUGGAAGAAUGUGGAGCAAUAUUGGUAUUGGGGAGUUGCAGGAUACAAAGCUCUUCCGUCCUGAUGGAAAUUUGGAGCUCUAGCUGCUCAUGCUGGUUCCGUAUGCCAUAGCCAUUGCGCCAAGGUCCAAAUGUUGCCAGGAUGGGGCGAAUGGCAGCUGUGAGGAAGGUGUUGAGCUGCAAACGGCGGGCAGGGUUGGCCAGCAGAAAAUUCAUCACCUCAUUUCCUUGUGCAGACAAACUGAACUGAAUCCCAGUGUUAUGGACUUGGACAGACAGGGAAAUGUUUUCAGCCGUAUGGUCUUGUACUGCUUCCAUGGCAUUAAGAGGGUCGAAAACCUCAUGUUUCUCAAAAACAAUCAGAGCCAAGUUAGUGUGAUUGCUGCUGGAGUCGUCAGAGACCGUGAUGGAGUCAUUCCAGGCUUGGGCAGGAUUAUCAGAGAUAUUGUUCUCAGGAACAAUGCCAUCCUGGACAGUCAGGCCCUGCGCCGCCAGCCAUGAUUGGAAGUUCAUCAGGUAUGGUGGCAGUUGAGGCUGCGGGGCAGGAGGGGCCGGCCACUUACCCCAUCCAGCAUCAAUCUGAACCUCUUCAGACUCGGAAUCACCCUCAUUGCUGUCUGGCUGAUCCAUUGCAGGUGGCGCCCCAUUCUGCGCAAACCAGUUAUGCACUUGCUGCUGGUAGAGCUGCUCUGCAGUCAUCUCAGGGCCGAACAGGGGAUGUGGAUCACCAUUGGGGGGCGGAGGUUCUUCUCCAGCAGGAGGGACUUCUGGUAGAUGUGCAUUCCAAUCGUUGCUGCGGAGGAUAGUAACUUGAACGGUCCAACAAUCAUAGGCCCCUCCUAACUGACGAACAACAAAGCUCUUAGGGACCAGUCUCAUGUGAAUCAACUGGACGUGAACCAUCACAUAUCUGCGGUCUUGCCUUGGAUUAUACCACGAAAUCAGUCCACCAAAACCCCCAACAGAUUUGUUGAUGUAAAACUCUGUCUGAUAGUCAUAUGGAAAUCCAAAGUACAGCAACCAAACUUGUGGACCAAAAGUGGUGGUGUGCCUAUUGAGUGCAGCAUUGUGUGGUACAAAAGUGAUCAGAAGGUCUUCCUCUUCAAGCUCUAAAGGAGUAGCUACAGCCGUAUCUCUCGCAAAGGAGUCAACAAAUCCGAAGAUGCCAAUGCCAAAAGGAUGAUAGCUUGUCUCUGUGGUGAAUAACUGAGAUUCAUGCAGCAUACCUUCAACCGCAUCCCAGAUGGCCUGGCGACGAUGCAGAGGAAGAGUGGCUAGCCUCCGCAAUGGCGAGGAAGUCAUGAUUCAGCGGCGGGAAUGGAGAGACCACCAUGCCACUGCGGACUACCCUGUUAGCAGGUCCAGGUUCGACCGCCCAGCCCGGAGGCAGGAAGGGGACGGGGUUCAGAGGGUAGUUCGCCAUUGUUGCGGCUUGGAGAGCAACGAUGGAGGAGGGCGGUGGAGUGACAGCGAUAGGCUGGGGAGGUGGUGAAGCCGAGGCGGAAGGCGGACCAUGAGGGGUAGGAAUGGAAACCUUUUGGCGCUUGGGAAUCCACUGCCAUCUUUGAGCCCUGCGGCGCGAUAGGCAAGAUGAUGACAUGUGUCCAUAGUGGCCGCAGCUCUCGCAUCGGACGGUGGUGCGUUUUUUCCUGGAUUGGAGUGGUUUGUGUAUGGAAUUGGUAGGUAUACUCGAUCCGGGAGUGGUCAGGGAAAGAGCAGGUGUAAUUGAUUCGAUUGGACUUGCUAGUUUUUGGGGGCAAGCAAUUGCCUUAUGGUCAGGAGCCGAGCACUGAAUGCAAAUGAGUCUCGCUGGGUAAGAAAUCUUUGGGUGCCCCCAUUGUAAGCAUUUCACACAGAGCACGGCCCAAUUAGAGGCGAGUGUGGCAAUCUCUUCUCCUGAAUAAUGGGCUUGGGCCAGAUCCGCCUUGUGUUUAUUCUUGAGGACGGGAGGCCAACUGGAAUGUGCGGGAGCAUAUUUGUAAGCAGAACUCAGAAAACACUGCGGAGGGGAAGGAUAUGGUAUAUCAAUCAAGCAUUUAAAACCUCCCAAAAUGAGGUAGUUGGCCAUUUGUGUAUCCUCCAAUGUCUCCUGGUGCAAAUAAAAAUCCACCAAAGAAUGGGCCGUAUUAAUGAGUGGCAAUAAUGGCUGAUUAGCCGUGUCGGCCGCCCCAGAUUGGUCCGAAUUUGGGUGGGAAUUUUGAAAUUCCUGUGGGGCCAGAAUCAUGUUGUUCAUCCGAGAAUUAUCCGAAAUCACCAAGGAAGUAGAGGCUUCAGCAUGAUUCGCAUUGGAAAAAUGCAUGUGACUGAGAGGAGCAAUAUGAAACUUGCUGAGCUCACGCUCAGAGGCCCGAUCAAAAGUAUCAUUUUUAUGAAGAAAACCCAAAUUAGAUUUGACCGCCAAGGGUCUCCGAGAGGAAAGAUCUGUUAGUUCUUCAUCAGCAUGCCAAUGGUGAUCAGUAGAGAACCGAGAGAAACGCCCAUUGAAAAGAUGAAAAUGGCAGAUAAAAUCAGGCCAAAUUCUGUCCUUGAGACCAUAGAUGAAGUGACCCACAUUAUUGCUGGCAACGGAGAACCGAAAUGAUCGAGAGCUCAAUUGAACAACCUUGAAACCAGAGCUGAUGCCACCAAUACAACACUGGAGAGCAAUACCAACUGAAUCUGUGGAAAGACGAAGGAUGCCGACGAAAACGAGACCACCAAAAAGAACUCCUUGGUGUCCCGGGAGGGGGAAAAGUGAACCGUGGAACCAAACCUGCGCCUCACCUGAUCGGCCAGGGCCAAGCCCGGCGCAAAAUCCCAGUGUAGUAGCCCUUCCAUCAUGGAGAAAGCUAGAGAUCGCCAUGGAGGAUCGUGGAGGGGGACAGUGGGAGGAGAGGUGGGAGGUUGGGGCUGACCUCUCUGUUGAGCCUAGGUGGGGCUGCGACGUGUUGAUCUUACGAGGCCGGGCAUGACCCAGGAAAGUGUGUCCGGCCAAAUGGGAUCGAGCGUGUUGGGUUAUGUGGUGCACCCCUGCAGGGAAGUUUAUCUAUUCGAAUAGUCGUGUCCCUCGGUAAAAGGACGACCCGGAGUUGUACCAUGACCUUAUGACAACUAGAACCGGAUACUUAAUUAAACACACCCUUCCAAGUGCCAGAUAUAACCCGGUGAUCGCUCUCUAACAGGGCGACGAGGAGGGGAUCGCCGGGUAGGAUUAUGCUAUACGAUGCUACUUGGUGAACUUACCAUCUACUCUCUUCUACAUGCUGCAAGAUGGAGGUGGCCUGAAGCGUAGUCUUCGACAGGAUUAGCUACCCCCUCUUAUUCUGGCAUUCUGCAGUUCAGUCCACCGAUAUGGCCCUUUACACAUAUACCCAUGCAUAUGUAGUGUAGCUCCUUGCUUGCGAGUACUUUGGAUGAGUACUCACGGUUGCUUUUCUCCCUCUUUCCCCCCUUUCCCUCCUACCUGGUUGUCGCAACCAGAUGCCGGAGCCCAGGAGCCAGACGCCACAGAACGACGACGACUCCUACUACACUGGAGGUGCCUACUACUACGUUCAGGCCGCUGAUGACGACCAGGAGUAGUUUAGGAGGAUCCCAGGCAGGAGGCCUGCGCCUCUUUCGAUCUGUAUCCUAGUUUGUGCUAGCCAUCUUAUGGCACCUUGUUUAACUUUAUGUCUGUACUCAGAUAUUGUUUCUUCCGCUGACUCGUCUAUGAUCGAGCACUUGUAUUCGAGCCCUCGAGGCCCCUGGCUUGUAUUAUGAUGCUUGUAUGACUUAUUUAUUUUUAGAGUUGUGUUGUGAUAUCUUCCCGUGAGUCCCUGAUCUUGAUCGUACACGUUUGCGUGUAUGAUUGAAUCGGGGGCGUCACAAGUUGGUAUCAGAGCCAACUGCCUGUAGGAAUCCCCCUUCCACACUCCUUGGCCGAAGUCGAGUCUAGACUUUACAAAACUUUUACUAACAUGGCUGUGCGGCCCAUGGGCCCACGUCGCCAUUGGGUGGUACUAGGAUCUUUUAUUCCUCGUCUAUACUCUGGGAUUCUAAUCUCUCUUCUAUUCGGGUUAAAUGAUUUUCUAAAAAUCUAACUUUAGGUUCUCGAAAACACUUUCUCCCGGAGAGCCCCUUCAGUCCAGAUGAUCGCCGCUGCACCAGAAGAUUUCGAAGUUACUCUCCGAUACUCUUUUGAGACUUUGUGCCCGUUGCUUUUGCAAUUCCCUACCACUGUUAUAUCAUUAUGGAUAACUACAUACACUUGCCUUUUCAAUCCCAUGGAUCUUGUUAUUACAAGAUACCCUGAAAAUUCUCUCUAUUGUUCCGAGAAUACUUUGUGCCUACUGCCUUGCAGUUCAUUACCCACAUGAACACCCCUACGGAUAAUUCCUCGCACAUACCGAGUAUCCGCCCAUCCCCGGUUGUUUAUGUGUUUCACUAAGGUCUUCGAAAUAAUAUUCGAUCUUCCGAAAAUCCUUAGCAGCUUAUUGCUCUUGAAAUUCUUGCUUGCUUGCAUUAUGUUUAAUCCCAUAAGUAUAGUAAUCUUAUUGGCAGCCUUUGUCACUAUCAUUUUGAGUCCAUUGAUUCAAAAUAUUGCGAAUGCUCGCAAUCCUCAAUCAGAUCCUAGAAUUCAUCCUUUCGGCUCAGACGUCAUUUUAAACAUGAGCUGGAUCUCGACCAAUCAAAUUGUCAUCAAUUUUACCCCUAAGCUUACUCAACCUAUCCAUCCUUAAUCAGAGCGUUUGCUUCUGAUCCCUUGAAUUUGAAAUUAUAAUUCCUUUGCAUUGAGCUUUGAGUUAGUCAGUUGUUUCUAUAAUCUGAUAUCCUUGCAUUCUUUCUUCCUCUGGUUGAGUACUGAUGCUCACAUCAGAUCCCUUGUGGACCACCAGACCCUUUGUCGGAUUUUAUCCGACAAUGUCCUUCAUAUUAAAUAAGCUUGUGAGCUUUUCCUCGGAUACAUAAUGCCUUUGGUAAAUUGUAUCCUCUGCUUUACCAUGCUCUACUUUCGAGCUUGUAUUAUUUACUCCGAAGUUUGUGGUAUAUGUUCCUAAGAUGCCCUGAUGGGUUGAACCUACGCCUUCCCUAAUCCGUGUGAACCCGAAAGAUUUCAUGGGUCAUACUUAUCUAGUAUUGCAUCAGGUAAAAACUUUCAACAACUAAUGUCAUUUUCGAAAUACGAGAGGUGAAUGAAAGGUUAUGCGUUGAACAAGUGGGAGUCGACCUUGAACCCUGUGUUCAUGCCCAUGGACACGAUGUAUACCUUAUCAUGGAAGCUUCUCUUGAAAUAAUUAUCCCCUUGUUAUAAGUUCAUCUUGUAUCUGUGGAUGUGGUUCCGACCAUGUUUCUCCUUGAUUCCAUUUCUCGUGCAAGUUUGAGCACUUGUCUUAUGCAGAGCAAUACCCUAGUCCAACCUCUACUUUGAUCUGUCGUCGAGUAUUACCCCCCUAGUAUCUCGAGGAUAUCAACCGAUUGCACUACAUCUUAUGCAUUUCUGAUGAAGUAGUACUUUUCGCCGUCAUAGUCACUCCACGAGUUCUGGGUUGUCGUCAAUCGAGAACACCGAUUAGUGAAUCGAAUCACCCCUGUGAUUCAGUACUCCUAGUACUUUGUGGUUGAGAAGUUUAAUACUCCAUCACGUCAUUCCUAGCCUGAUCGGCUAUAUCAUUUUGUGCUAAAUUUUAACUGUGCUACCUGGUCCUUAUUCCCGGAGCACAACUUUCGACGAUGAGCUAAGCUUACGUCGAUCUUCCUCAUCAUAUCAUUUCGCCUUGAACAUCGAGCUUAAUUUUGAGUUUGUGUCAUACCCUUGGUUCCAAUAACCUUUCGCUUCACCAUUCCUUUGACUUGAUGUCAUUGCCAAUCGAUUACAUCUUGAAAUCUCUCGACAAAUGUGUCGUGAUCAUCAUCAACAUCCUGAGGUCUUCCAAGAUAUCUAUCGAAUUCUUGAUGAGAAAUACCAUCCCUUGCCCUCGAUGAUUUGUGUUAUCAUCGACCACUUUAUUGCCUUCUGUUCAACACAAACUUGUCCGUGUUUUGUGUUAUACUUUGAGUUCCUUGCUAUCCAGCAAUUGUUCUUCCUUACCUUGGAGUAUUACCAUCUUUUAUGUCAGGAAUGUCGUGAGAAUUUCACCACCUCUUGAGAAUUCUUGAUACAAGUGAUACUUUUCACCAUCGCCAUUCCUUCUUGGUCCCCGUGUUGUUUAAUACCGAAAUGCCGACAAAUGGACUAUGAUGGGUGAAUUCAAAACUUCUAGCAACCCUAUUGCUUGUAUGUUACGAAUGCUAGUUUCUUUCUUCAUGUGUUGAUUAUUGACUCAUCAUCCAAACAUAGAUCGUGCUACCUAAUCCAGAUUUCCGGGUGCACCCGUCUAUCAUUGUUAAAUUGUGUAUGUUUUCCUCGAGCAUACAUCAUUAUAUCAUUUGGCCUGACAAAUGUUAUCUCCUUGUUCACCUAACUGUGGAGAUCCAUCUUUUGGAAAUCUCAAUGAGUUGUCGCUAAGUUCAUCAGCCACCUCCUCAUCCUCUCCUUGGUUUAAUGACGAACUCUGAUUUUGGAACUUGCUUCCAUGGUUCAUUUCCCGAGAAUCUUAUGAUGUCUUCUCGUCAAUUUGUGUUGCACCUUUUUUUUCUCAGGCAUACUGAGUCUGAGGUAUCCUGACACCAAUCAGAUCUGAAUCUUGGUCAGAUAUGAUGGUUGGAACAUUCUUCCAAGAGUUAUAACACUGGUCUUUUAUGACCCGGUAAGGUGAUGGCAUGCCCAGCACACCUGGCCGGAUGACCUGUUGUUAUAGUUUCCUUAUUAGCAAGGUUAGCCAUUCUUCCAUAAGAAGAUGGUAAGACUUAUUCUAUGAGUUGUUCCUCGUGGAUCCUUCGUGUAUCCAAAGUUUGACCUUUGCCUGAAGACCAUGUCAAUGCUAUCUCGAAGCAUGACUGUGGUACUCCGAUUUUCAACAAGAACAUUUGAAGCCCAAUGCUAAGUGUUUCCUGCUCAAUUAUCCAAACAUCGUUGUAUGGGUAAUGUCAUGAAAUUUCUCUCCUCUUUUCCUAAAGGGUUUUCUACGCUAUAUCCUGUCAUGGAUAUCAUGCUCUGUUUGUCCUUGGGAAGGUAUACCCCCUGAGAUUUGUGUUUAAGCACAUUUUCCUUUCCAUUGUUCUGUUUAAUAUGAAGAUCACCUUUUCCUUUCCAUUGUUUUGUUUAACCUUUCUGGUGAUCUAUAUGAUCUAAGCAGUAAUGUUCUUAUGCUUAUGUAAACACCUUGGUGUACAACCGUGUCAGUAAGACCCUGUUGCUUUUGUUGAUAGCAUUACGGUAACCACCGAUGGACGAGAACUUUACCUAUUGGUCCGCCUCGUUCAACGAGCAGGAAAAUGGUUCUCUUUGUCCCUCGCCCUUGGUACCGACGUUGUUGGCGACAUAACUGGCAGGAUAAUUUCUGGCAUGCCCUACUUACAUGAUCGUGUAAGACGUCAUCGCCCUUCGUACUUUUAAACCACAUGGUGGGCCCAUAUCCCACAGUUCCACACGAUCGAAACCUGACUCUCCUGUACAUCCCUGGUUUCCAAAGUUAUUCUCGUUGCUUUGAACCCCUUUCACGCCCAGUUUCAGGCAUCGAACAUUUGCCUGCCCGCGCGAAACUUACCAUGAUACCUCCUUAGUUUGCUCUCGAUAUUUUCUUAAGUUUCAAUUCGAGAGUUACUUCCCGCCACCUUACCCGAUGUUAUCGACAAGAUAGUCAACCUUGCAGAGGUCCGCACUCUCGGGAUACCCACCCCUUAUUCUUUUGUAAGUAUGAUGGAGUUCCCGAAGAAAGGAUGCCGACUUCAUCAUGAUGACCUGAAGCAGAGAAUUGAAGACAUCAACGUAAUGGAUCGACCUCUUCGAGAAGAGAAACCAAGACCGAGAACACUCGCUAGAAUUUCGUAGCCCUAACCAUCCCCCUUGGCUCCACCUCUUAAAUCUCGGGACGAGAUUUCUUGUAGUGGAGGAGAUUUGUAACACCCCGGGUGUCACGCUACAGUAAACUCCUGUUAAUAGUGCCACGUCAUCAUAAUUAAAUUUUGCUAAUCUUUACUUUGUUCCAAACCGACCUUAAAUUCAAAUUUGGAAAGACAAUUCAAAUUAUAAUUUAUAAAACCGUAAAUUUAAAAUGUUCAUCGGGUUGGAAAUAUUCACUGCGUAAUUGUCAUGCUUCAAACAAACAUUUUUGAAGAUGUUUAAAAUGCCCAUGGACUUUAAACAGUGGACCAACGACACCUUUUUUUAGCCCAUUUAAAUACAAUCAUAAUUUAAAUUAACUCCAGUUGCCCCAAACAUUUUGUGCAGCCCCAAGGUAUAGUGCUUGAAUUAUGUGCAAAUUUACAUGGUCAACACAAGUCAUUUGUUAACAGAACUUUAAUAAAAAUAGGAGCUAACAAAUAGAAAAGAAAAUAAGUAAAAAAAAGAGAAAUACAAAUUAGAAAAGAAUAAAAGUAAAAUAGGAGAAGCCUCUAUGCACCUUGGCCCAGCCGCUACAGAGUCAAGCCCAGCCCAACACUGCUCCAUCCCCUACCUAACGCUCUCUCUCCUGUGCGUGUCGUGCAUCCCCGUCGCCAUGGCGCGGAUGCUCGACGCGUGCUGCUACAGGGAAUCGAGGAGAGGAUAAGAAGGCCACCAGGAACCCUCGACGAACCCUAGCUCCCAUUGUUUCCCCCCUCGUGCCUUCUCC